GUUGUGAUGGGGUCUAGUAGAGCUGUGUUGUGAUGGGGUCUAGUAGAGCUGUGUUGUGAUGGGGUCUAGUAGAGCUGUGUUGUGAUGGGGUCUAGUAGAGCUGUGUUGUGAUGGGCCAGGUCUAGUAGAGCUGUGUUGUGAUGGGCCAGGUCUAGUAGAGCUGUGUUGUGAUGGGGUCUAGUACAGCUGUGUUGUGAUGGGUAUAGUAGAGCUGUGUUGUGAUGGGGUCUAGUAGAGCUGUGUUGUGAUGGGGUCUAGUAGAGCUGUGUUGUGAUGGGGUCUAGUAGAGCUGUGUUGUGAUGGGUAUAGUAGAGCUGUGUUGUGAUGGGGUCUAGUAGAGCUGUGUUGUGAUGGGGUCUAGUAGAGCUGUGUUGUGAUGGGGUCUAGUAGUGCUGUGUUGUGAUGGGGUCCAGUAGAGCUGUGUUGUGAUGGGCCAGGUCUAGUAGAGCUGUGUUGUGAUGGGCCAGGUCUAGUAGAGCUGUGUUGUGAUGGGCCAGGUCUAUUAGAGCUGUGUUGUGAUGGGCCAGGUCUAGUAGAGCUGUGUUGUGAUGGGCCAGGUCCGGUAGAGCUGUGUUGUGAUGGGCCAGGUCUAGUAGAGCUGUGUUGUGAUGGGCCAGGUCUAGUAGAGCUGUGUUGUGAUGGGGUCUAGUAGUGCUGUGUUGUGAUGGGGUCUAGUAGAGCUGUGUUGUGAUGGGGUCUAGUAGAGCUGUGUUGUGAUGGGCCUGGUCUAGUAGAGCUGUGUUGUGAUGGGCCAGGUCUAGUAGAGCUGUGUUGUGAUGGGCCAGGUCUAGUAGAGCUGUGUUGUGAUGGGGUCUAGUAGAGCUGUGUUGUGAUGGGGUCUAGUAGAGCUGUGUUGUGAUGGGCCAGGUCUAGUAGAGCUGUGUUGUGAUGGGCCAGUAGAGCUGUGUUGUGAUGGGCCAGGUCUUGUAGAGCUGUGUUGUGAUGGGGUCUAGUAGAGCUGUGUUGUGAUGGGCCAGGUCUAGUAGAGCUGUGUUGUGAUGGGCCAGUAGAGCUGUGUUGUGAUGGGCCAGGUCUAGUAGAGCUGUGUUGUGAUGGGCCUGGUCUAGUAGAGCUGUGUUGUGAUGGGCCGUGUCUGGCUCUUCUCUCCUGGGGACGGUGAAUGUACUGUUGUUUCAGAAUGUGGGGCGGGGAGACCUCUGUUGCUGGGGUGAUGGGUGUGUGGGUCUCCUGCCAAGUGUUGCAUCUUUUAGGUCCUUGGCAAAGGUUCUGAUACUGUCCUGAUCCAGAUGUACUUUAUCGUAUAAGUGUUGACAUGUCAGAGUGGGGUGGUGAGCCGUUCUGACGUUGAGCAGUGAGGCACAGUCCACAGUGAUCUGUUGAUUUAUAUUGUUGAUCAACUGUCCUGGGAAGUCUUUUCUUGGUAGGAGGGUUGGACACAACUAUAUUGGUUGUUGGGAACCGAGCCUGUGCCCGUUCUGCCACUCUUCUCACUGCCCCAGUGUCACGUCCUGACCAGCAGAGGGAGCAAUUGUAUUAGUUUUGGUCAGGACGUGGCAGGGUUUUUGUGUGUGCUAAGUGUUGUGUUGGUGAUUGGACUCCCAAUUGAAGGCAGGUGUGUUGAGUUGCCUUUGAUUGGGAGUCCUAUAUAGUAGUGUGUGUUUUUCUUUGGGGUUGUGGGUAGUUGUUUUUUGCACUGCGUUUGAUAGCCUGCAAAACUGUUCUUGUCGUGAGUAUCAUUUAUUGUUUUUUCACUGUGGAUGCUCUGCGUAUUUUUUCAUUAAAGAAUAUGAGUAUCCACAUACCCGCUGCGCCUUGGUCCAUUCCUGAAGACAACUGUUACACCCAGAUACAUUUUCACCUUUGGCAUGAAGGUGGUUUGUUCCAGUGUGGAUGAUGAUGUUGUCGGGGGGGAGUGUCAAUCCUGGUCUGACUGAGUAGCUGCAUUGCGCUGUCAAUUGUAGGACACCAGAACUUAUACACCUGGUGUCUAGGGAAUCAUCUGUCCUGGACUAAGAACUUCCCAUUUGAAUCAAUAAGGAUUGCAGUUGUGGGUGAUUGUCUGG
rnacentral:lncRNA from 1 species